rnacentral:rRNA from 1 species
GGACGAACGCUGGCGGCGUGCUUAACACAUGCAAGUCGAACGGAAAGGCCCUGCUUUUGUGGGGUGCUCGAGUGGCGAACGGGUGAGUAACACGUGAGUAACCUGCCCUUGACUUUGGGAUAACUUCAGGAAACUGGGGCUAAUACCGGAUAGGAGCUCCUGCUGCAUGGUGGGGGUUGGAAAGUUUUGGCGGUUGGGGAUGGACUCGCGGCUUAUCAGCUUGUUGGUGGGGUAGUGGCUUACCAAGGCUUUGACGGGUAGCCGGCCUGAGAGGGUGACCGGCCACAUUGGGACUGAGAUACGGCCCAGACUCCUACGGGAGGCAGCAGUGGGGAAUAUUGCACAAUGGGCGGAAGCCUGAUGCAGCAACGCCGCGUGCGGGAUGACGGCCUUCGGGUUGUAAACCGCUUUCGCCUGUGACGAAGCGUGAGUGACGGUAAUGGGUAAAGAAGCACCGGCUAACUACGUG